AAAUGGCGACAUAGCUUAGCAACCAGUCGUGGUACCUUGGCUAAUUUCUAAAUGGGGACAUAGCUUAGCAACUGGGUCUGGUCCCUUUGCUAAUUUCUCAAUGGCGACAUAGCUUAGCAAUUGCAUCUGGUUUUUUGGGCGAAUUUUAAAAUGGCGGCAUAGCUUAGCAACUGGGUGGGGUCCCUUUGCUAAUUUCCAAAGGGCGACAUAGCUUGUCAACUGGAUUUCAUCCCUUUGCUAAUAAUGUCUAAAUGGCGACAUCGCUUAGCAACAGGGUUUGGUCCCUCUGCUACAUUCUCAAUGGCGACAUAGCUUAGCACCAGGG
rnacentral:lncRNA from 1 species